rnacentral:tRNA from 1 species
AUUUUCUUAGUAUAACAGUAUAAAUGACUUCCAAUCAUUAGGCUUUGGUUAAACCCCAAGAGAGAAUA